UGUGGGAGCGAGCUUGCUCGCGAUGGCGUCGUAUCAGCCGACAUCAAUGUUGACUGUCAGGACCUCAUCGCGAGCAAGCUCGCUCCCACA
rnacentral:misc_RNA from 1 species